UACAGAGGUCUCAAGCGUUGUUCGGAUUUAUUGGGCGUAAAGAGCGUGUAGGCGGCCAGGUAGGUCCGUUGUGAAAACUGGAGGCUUAACCUCCAGCUGUCGAUGGAAACCAUCUGGCUAGAGUCCGGAAGAGGAGAGUGGAAUUCCUGGUGUAGCGGUGAAAUGCGCAGAUAUCAGGAAGAACACCCGUGGCGAAGGCGGCUCGCUGGGACGGUACUGACGCUGAGACGCGAAAGCGUGGGGAGCAAACAGG
rnacentral:rRNA from 1 species